CACUUCGGGACAAGCCCUGGAAACGGGGUCUAAUACCGGAUACGACACGGGACCGCAUGGUCUUCGUGUGGAAAGCUCCGGCGGUGCAGGAUGAGCCCGCGGCCUAUCAGCUUGUUGGUGAGGUAAUGGCUCACCAAGGCGACGACGGGUAGCCGGCCUGAGAGGGCGACCGGCCACACUGGGACUGAGACACGGCCCAGACUCCUACGGGAGGCAGCAGUGGGGAAUAUUGCACAAUGGGCGAAAGCCUGAUGCAGCGACGCCGCGUGAGGGAUGACGGCCUUCGGGUUGUAAACCUCUUUCAGCAGGGAAGAAGCGAAAGUGACGGUACCUGCAGAAGAAGCGCCGGCUAACUACGUGCCAGCAGCCGCGGUAAUACGUAGGGCGCAAGCGUUGUCCGGAAUUAUUGGGCGUAAAGAGCUCGUAGGCGGCUUGUCACGUCGGAUGUGAAAGCCCGGGGCUUAACCCCGGGUCUGCAUUCGAUACGGGCAGGCUAGAGUUCGGUAGGGGAGAUCGGAAUUCCUGGUGUAGCGGUGAAAUGCGCAGAUAUCAGGAGGAACACCGGUGGCGAAGGCGGAUCUCUGGGCCGAUACUGACGCUGAGGAGCGAAAGCGUGGGGAGCGAACAGGAUUAGAUACCCUGGUAGUCCACGCCGUAAACGGUGGGCACUAGGUGUGGGCAACAUUCCACGUUGUCCGUG
rnacentral:rRNA from 1 species